AUCAGAGUCAUUUCCAUAGUUACAGAAGACACAGGUCCUCAACAUGGGAGGGAGCUGGACCAUUCUCUUUCUUGUGUUGGUAACUAGAGGUGCCCACUCCCAGGUCCACCUGCAACAGUCUGGGGCUGAACUUGUGAAGCCUGGGUCCUCAGUGAAGUUAUCCUGCAAGACUUCUGGCUACACCUUCACUGACUAUGAAAUGAAUUGGGUGAAGCAGAAGCCUGGACAGGGCCUGGAGUGGAUUGGAGCUAUUUAUCCUGAAAAUGAUGCUACUGCCUACAAUCAGAAAUUUCAGGACAAGGUCACUCUAACUACAGACAAAUCCUCCAGCACAGCCUAUAUGGAGUUCAGCAGACUGAUAUCUGACGACUCUUCAGUCUAUUACUGUGUGAGACACAAUGUUGCAACCACAUCCUGA